rnacentral:rRNA from 1 species
UACGUAGGCAGCGAGCGUUGUUCGGAGUUACUGGGCGUAAAGGGUGUGUAGGCGGUUAUUUAAGUUUGGUGUGAAAUCUCCCGGCUCAACCGGGAGGGUGCGCCGAAUACUGAAUGACUUGGAGUGCGGGAGAGGUGAGUGGAAUUCCCGGUGUAGCGGUGAAAUGCGCAGAUAUCGGGAGGAACACCAGUAGCGAAGGCGGCACUCUGGGCCGGUACUGACGCUGAGGAGCGAAAGCGUGGGGAGCGAACAGG